AACUGGUUGAUCCUGCCAGUAGUGAUAUGCUUGUCUCAAAGAUUAAGCCAUGCACGUGUAAGUACAAGUGAUACAAGAAAGCGAAACCGCAAAUGGCUCAUUAAAUCAGUUACGGUCCUCUUGGCUGUUGAGACUACUUGGAUAACUGUGGUAAUCCUAGAGCUAAUACAUGCACUGGAGCUCCGAUCCCGCGAGGGAGACGAGCGCUUUUAUUAGACCAAGACCAGCCCGCGUUCGCGCGGUAGCGACUGGUGACUCUGUAUAACCUAGGGCGGAUUGCACGGGCUCGUCCCGGCGACGCGUCUUUCGAGUGUCUGCCUUUUCAACUGUCGAUGGUAGGUCAUGCGCCUACCAUGGUCGUCCCGGGUGACGGGGAAUCAGGGUUCGAUUCCGGAGAGGGAGCCUGAGAAACGGCUACCACAUCCAAGGAAGACAGUAGGCACGCAAGUUACCCACUCCCGUCCCAGGGAGAUAGUGACGAAAAAUAACGAUACGGGACUCUUUCGAGACCCCGUCAUCGGAAUGAUAGUAAGGUAAAGAGUGUUCAAAAGGAACAAUUGGAGUUCAAGUCUGGUGCCAGCAGCUGCAAUAGCUCCAGCUCCGAUAGCGUAAGCUAAAUUUGUUGCGGAUGAAAAGCUCGUACAACGGAUCUCAGCCUGGGGCGCGUCAGCGCCCCUUCUGGUCUCGCGGGCUCUGGCCGUUUUCCGAACCGCGAUCGUAACCUGUCGUGGCGCGGGGUCCGGUCAGUUUACCUUGAAGAAACUGAAGUGCUCAAAGCAGGCCUGUCGCCCGCACAAGGAUGCAUGGAAUAAUGCAAGAGGACCUCGGUUCUAUUGUGUUGGUUUUCGGAACCGGAGGUAAUGAUCGAUAGGAAUAGACGGGGGCAUUCGUACUGAGACCCUAGAGGUGAAAUUCUCUCAGAGGUCACGAAAGUCAGAGGUUCGAAGGCGAUCAGAUACCGCCGUAGUUCUGACCGUAAACUUUGCCAGCCAGCGAUCCGGUGCUGUAUGAGAAACGACACGCCGUAUGGUUGUGAAACUUAAAGGAAUUGACGAAAGGGUAUUAUCAGGGAUGGAUUCUGCGGCUCAAUUUGAUUCAACACGGGAAAACUCACCCGCUCCUGACAC